UAAUUCCCAUGGUGAGGAAUUAGUGAGUGAGUCACUAGGUCUCAAAUGAGUGGGACUAGUGAGCUUGGUAGCCGUAUCUGGGUUUGAUCGGUGAGGUUGAACUAUGUGUUCACGAAUAGUCGGUACCGCAUGCAUGGAGUCUCAUUACAUAAUGUAUGUAUGGCGUAUAAUAUGAAUGGAUGUAUUCCAAUAUUAUACGUGUGUUUUGUGUUUGUGUUGAGUAUGAUUAUGAGUUGAUGUUGCCGUUGCUGAAUGUGUGAUAUGAUUAGGGUGAUGAAUGUGUUAAUUUACUUAACAUUACAUGAUAUUUUAUAAUGCUUAUUAUAUCG
rnacentral:lncRNA from 1 species